UAACCCGAUUAUCUCCCCCAAACCAUGUCUCUCUUCUCUCUCUGUAAAAUAGAGAAAAAAAAAAUAAGAGAGCGACAGAAAAAGGGUGAAACUCUUCACCGAAUUCUUUUACUCAGAGAAAGAAAGAUGGAGGAGAAGUCAUGGUUUGGAUUCUGUCCGUCCAGCUACUGGAUAAAUAUGUCCGUCACAAAAUUCUGAGAAAGUCGACGAAAUCAUCAGAGAGAUCAAAAUAUGCAGCUUAGAACCUUGCGAUUUGUGCUAGAAAACAACGACAAUCGACAGAACAUCAAGGAUCACAGUGGGAACACUUGUCGGGGGGAAAUCAGCAGCUCUUCUGAGAAAACCAAAUCAGAGUGGGUGGUGCACGAGUUUCACUACACCCUCUUACCUGAAGUCUGAAGAAAAGUUGUUAAGGGAUGUUUGUACCGACAAAAUAGAAGUUGAGGUUUGAAAUCUCUGUCUGGAGAGAGGGAAAUGGAAGAGGGAAACGCAGAGUACCGCUUGGAGAGCCUGAGAUGGCUGGCCUUGAUUGACGAGACUCCGAGCUGCGGAGAGGAAAUCAUCCCUGGCGGUGGUGGGCUUGUCUAGAACAAAAGUCUUAUUAGAGUCGGUGUCCACUAUCUCCUUCUCGGAAUCAGCGUUCAUGGCGUAAUGCAUUUGCAAGAAAAUCAGGGGAGAAUCCAAUUUUUCUUUAUCUCGCAUCUUCUACAAGUUGCUAGAUUAGAGUUAUGUUUGUUAGUUCAAAGCGAUAUAGCUACUGAUAAUGGACUAGGUCAAUUAACUAUAUUUGUUUUGUGAAAAUGGUUUAACUAGAUUCUAUCUCAUUGGUUUGAAUCUUUUAUCCAGUGAAUGGAGAUGGGAUCAUUUGAUUUACGCCUGCUAUGCUUUUUGGGACAGGUACCUGAAGAUAUCCUAGUUGAAAGAGUUGUUGGGCGUAGAUUGGAUCCUGUCACGGGAAAGAUCUACCACUUGAAGUAUUCUCCUCCAGAGACAGAAGAGAUCGCUGCUAGACUGACCCAACGUUUGGAUGAUACCGAAGAGAAGAGGGAAACACUGCUCCAAUUUCACUUUUAAGUUGAAUCAUUCUUGGGAACAGACCUAACCAGCGGUAAAUUAUUCUCGAGUUCAAGGUCUAGGAAAGAGCCUGAAGAGAGAAAAUAAAAAUCAAGAAAAGAAAGAUUGACAAAAGAAAACGAGUAGGAGUAUGUUUUAUUGUUUUGAACUUUUUUUCUUCGAGGUAGUUAAAACUUGAAUGUUUAAAACUUGUAUGUAUCUGUUGCAAAAGACAUGUUAGAAUAACUAAUUUCAUUAAGUUUAUUAUGUCCGAAAAGUUUAUUAA